CCUACGGGUGGCAGCAGUGGGGAAUAUUGCACAAUGGGGGAAACCCUGAUGCAGCGACGCCGCGUGAGUGAAGAAGUAUUUCGGGAUGUAAAGCUCUAUCAGCAGGGAAGAAACUGACGGUAACUGACUAAGAAGCCCCGGCUAACUACCGGCCAGCAGCCGCCGUAAUACGUAGGGGGCAAGCGUUAUCCGGAUUUAAUGGGUGGAAAGGGCGCGUAGACGGGAGCGGAAGGCUGGAGUGAAAUCCCAAGGCUUAACCAUGGGACGGCAUUGGAAACUGGGCAGCUGGAGUGCAGGAGAGGUAAGGGGAAUUCCUGGUGUAGCGGUGAAAUGCGUAGAUAUCAGGAGGAACAUCAGUGGCGAAGGCGGCUUACUGGACUGUAACUGACGUUGAGGCUCGAAAGCGUGGGGAGCAAACAGGAUUAGAUACCCGGGUAGUC
rnacentral:rRNA from 1 species